rnacentral:lncRNA from 1 species
AUUUUUUCCUUCUAAGAAUAUUUAUAUCAAACAUAACCUUAAGACCCAUGUUUCAAGUACUCCAAUCCGAGCACCAUUUGAUUGUAACUAACAAAUACUCUAUAAAAAGACAAGGCCAAGAACGCUAAUAUAACUCAGUUUUUGAAUGAAAAUAUUCCAAAUAUUGGCCCAAUUAUACCCAUUAAGAAGAAGUCUAUUGUUACUUUUCAAUUAGGCCCAAAAUCGUUGAUGAAAUAGUCCACAUUUGGGCAUCUCCAGUUCUUGAAGCAUCAAAGAACAGAUUUCGUCAUUUUGCUUACAGAUCAAAUCCUCAAUCAGCUGCAUACAGGUAAAAUCACUACGAGUUUAUUUUCGGCUUUUGCAUAUGUCAAAUUCGGAUUUCGAAGAGAAAUUUAUUUCAUUUUUAUGCAUAAAUUUCCUCGGAUUCUUACAUGUAAAAGAUCUAGGGUUUUAAAUUCUAAUACGUACUGACUUAACUAAAAUAAUUCACUUUGAAUCUGAAUUUGUGAACAACGAAAUAUUAUCUCAAGGUUUAAUAUGAUUCUCUUGGGAUUUUAAUUUAGUUACUUCACUUGAAUCGAAUUUCCAGCAAAAUUUUAGAAUUUUUUUUUUGUAUUUUUCAUAUAGAGAUUUAACGACUAAAUCUAACAUAUACACUUUUGCAGCAUAAAUAGAUGGGGUUUAUAAUGGAGUUUGCGGAAAAUUUGAUACUUCGGCUGAUGGAGGAUCCUAAGGAGAGGGACAAGAAGUUUAGGGAGCAUUUGUACAAUUUGAAGGACAGAUGCCAGAAGACCAAGGAAAUGUGGAGCCUGCCUCUGCGUCCUUACGGCUUCUGGAAUUUUGAUCGCCAUAAUGCACAAAUUUUUUGGGAUUCUCAGAUUAGUCAAGUUCCAGGUCGCCGUGACCCCUAUGAUGACCUCCUCCAGGACCCUUACAUUGAUACUACUGCUUCCUCUUCCUCCUCAAAGUAAUUGGUGAGUUUCUUCCUAUUUCAUGACGUGGCCCAAUUGUGGGGUUGUGCAUAUGUGUUCUGUGAAUUUGUAGUUUUUAGGAGUUAGGACUAUUUGUCAUCAUUUUGGAUUUCUUGAUUAAUAUGGCAUUGGCUGAAUACAUGCAUAUGUAGAUUAUAGACCCAUAUGUACCAAGCAUAUAUUCAGGGCCAAUAUGAGGCUCUUAAACAUAAUUCGCCUAGUUAAUAUGAGGUCCUUAAACAUAAUUUUUUUUACAAGAGUAGCAAUACUUAGAAAAGGGAGACAAAAAUAUGUCACAAGAGCAAGUUGAGACUACUUGUCAACAGUUGAAAAAGAACCUUUGAUUAAAUAUCGAUUUUUACUGGAAAGAUAUGAUCUCUAUACCAGUUUUCCUCCUUGGCUCAGCUACUUAAAGGAUCAACAUCCCAAUAGGAAGCCUAUUACAACUAUAUUUAAGUUAUGUCUUGAGCACAGGUUCGCCAAACUCCAAAGACUAGUCAAUCCAAGGUUGGAAAAAUUAUCCUUCUAUUGUUUUAAUAUAUUUUGGCAGGUUCAAUUUACCACUAGUUGAUCUCCAGGAAUUCUAGCGGUGUUAUUUCAAAGUUUUAUACAAGCUCAUCAUAUACAACCAUGGCUAGUGAGGAUGGAGAAUAUUCUAAAGGAAAAGCAGAAAUUGAAAACUUCUUAAGUUCCUUAAUAGAGCACUAACACAUUCAUUACACUAAACUGAAGAUUUAAUAGGUGCUACCAGCACACAAUAGAGAAAAAAACAGAGUAAUAAAAUCAAAAUGUAACAAAGUAGUAAUUAAGCUUCUAACUUGGUGUUCUUUAUACAGCAUACAUUUAUUGAAUAUAAAGCAGUAGAGAUACUGCUUUGCAUAACGUUUUUCCAAAUAACUUGAAUUGAAGAUGAAUAAUAUUAUGAUUGGCUCUAGCUAAACACAAAAACCAUCAAGGAUCAAAGAACAAGAGAUUAUGUUAGAGAAGGACAAGUGAAAUUAUCAGAAGAAAUAGAGUGGCUUAGAAAAGUCACUUUGAACAACUACAACCACUUUUAUGUAAGGUUCAUCGAAAUAGGAGUUUCUAUUCUUACAUUUCCAGAAUAGACGUCAAACUUGAAGAGCAAUCUCAGAAUUAUCGACUUGCGUGCAAACUUAACCAAUCAGCAUCUUUUAAAAAAAUAAACGCAGCAAAGAAGGAUAGCUGAGCAUAAAAAUGUAAAAAAAUGAGAAGACAAGGAUAAUAGGUUCCCCCCAAAUAACAAGUGUGAAAACCAAUGUCAAGUAGUCCUUAAUCCCACUGCAAAACUCUCUUACUCCGUCAAUGCAUUUUAAAUUAUCCAAUCAAUCGUACCCCCAUCCACCCACCUAAAAUGCUUUCUGCUCACUUCGUAAAAAUUUAGAAUAGUUGUGGGCUAUUUUCAUGAACCCAUCUUGUUCUUUUUCCGUUUAUUCAAUACCAAUUAGCAGAUUAAUAUUUUUAGCACUAGCAAAAGCCUACAAUUUAUGUAACUCAGAAGGAAAAAAAGAGCAGCUUUCAGGGGAAAUUGAUUUAAUUUUAAAUGGAUCAACUGCAAAAAUUCAAAUACCCAAAUAGAAAACACAGAGAAUAUCUAUUUCGAUUUGUUGAUGGCACAAAUCAGUAUCCUAAGCAAACUGUUGAAGCACAUGGAAAAGUAACAAUACUUCUUUCAAAACUCUCCAAAGCUAUACUUUACAAUAGAGUGUUGGAUCGUUAAAGACAAACUUUAGUAUUUAUAUUAUGAACGUAUUAGAAAUGAGAAUUUUCAGAUAGAUACACGUUCAUACUAUAAUAGGUAAAAUGAGAAGUGAUGAUAUCCAUUGAAAAAAAGGUAAAGUCAAUUGAGCCUAGAUGAAGAAUGACCAAGAUGGUUGGGGCGAUCAUUGUGUGACUUGGAUAAAAUUUUAUUCACAAGAACGAUUUGAUAUUAGUAGAAUGUAUUAAAAAGGAGAGGUAGAUUAAAUAAAUGAACAUUGUUUGAUGUAGAUUUACAAAAUUUCAUUUCACUAUACAUCUAGGUAGACUUAGAAAUAGAUAAGAGGUAGUCGUGUAAAUAUGAUUCAUGUAGUCUACUCCGAGUUUAGUUUAUAUAUUUUGUGUAGGUCAUUUCCUCAAAAAAGGAUUCCAUGUGUAAUAUCUUUUUUUCUGCGAGUGAAAUUGGGAUUAUCAGUAGCAUUUUAGGGCCAAUGGAUAGUUAAUGAUUUAAUUCCAUAAAAAUCUCUACUAGUUGUUGACAUGUUAAAACACCUUUUGCAUGCAGUACUGUCAAGUUCAUAUUUUAAUAUUUUCUUCGAUAAUAUUCGAUCACUUGGGUAAUUGAGAUGCAAGAAUAUUAAUCAUACUCCAAUUAAGUUGAGAAAUAAUAACUCUAUUAACUACAUGGAACUGAUAGUAAAAGAGAUAGUAAAUGCAAGAACUUUGAUGCAUUUAUAUGUUAUACGCAAUGUCAUAAAAUACCUCAUGGCUUAUUUCCUAUCUUAGGGGAAAAAUAUUUUCUAGUGCGUUCAAUCUUCAUAUAAUGGUGAAGAAGAUAUUGGAUUGAUGUUGAUUUUAAUUGCAUUGUCGUUUGAACAUUCUGAUUGACAUUAUUGGGUAAAAUACUUUAUCAACUCUGCCGUUUAUCCCAAUCCUAAUUGCAUCCCCGAACUAUGAGCUUGAAAUUUGAAUAUAAAGAUUAUAUAAUGCUUCACUUUCGUGGGUUGGUUCAAUUGCUUGGUGUUGCUCAACUAGGCGGGUAGCAUGUUUUAGGACACAGAGGAUCUAUUACAAUGUAAAGUACAUAUUCAUGAAGGAUAAAGGGGAAAAUCUUGUUUCCUUUUUGGUAAAUUUAGGUGAAAGGUGCUAUGGUUUCAUGAUAUUAAGGGUAAAAUAUUUAAUUGCUUUGCUCUGUGCAGGAAGGACCGCAGCAGUUCGUGGAUGGUAGAGCUUUCACGGGAAGUGUAGCUGUUUUAUCAUUUUAUGUGUCCUUUUUCUUAGCAAUGUCUGGUUUGAAACUCAGGCAUUUGUUCAGAAAUCAAAAUAAGUAUCCAUGUUAUUAGUUUCGUACGGAAGAUUUCUCCGUAAAUCGGGCUUUCGAAGCACUUUCAUAAAUUGUGUUAAAGGGAGUUCAGUAUAUCUUGUACUAGAAGAUUUCGUAUUGUGUGAGAUCUUUGUUUGUGUCAAUGACUAAAUUUAAACAAAUAAUUGUUUUAAUCGUUUUAAGGGUUUAAUACAUUGCUAGCGUGGUUUGAAAAUCAAAUGUUUCCAUUGCUUCAACC